GGCAGAUAGUCUUGUUACAAUCACACCAGGCUGACCUGACAAUUCUUUCUGGUUAGGCCCAUCCCCUUCGGGUGCUGACAGUGGAGCAUUUUUUUUUUUUUAACUUGCCUGCCUCCUUUACACUGCUCAGAGAUGUCCUGCUUCAUGGGACACUGUUUCUGGGGAUACGGGUAUGCUCACACUUUAGCAGUUGUGAGAUUUGUUCACAAUGGUAUAAAAAUAAUAAUAGCAAAAGCAACAUGGAGAACCUCUUUCUCAAGCUUCCCUCCUCCUCCAUUGAAG